rnacentral:rRNA from 1 species
CGUAGGGUGCGAGCGUUAAUCGGAAUUACUGGGCGUAAAGCGUGCGCAGGCGGGCGCUUAAGCCAGACGUGAAAUCCCCGAGCUUAACUUGGGAAUGGCGUUUGGGACUGGGUGCCUUGAGUGCGGCAGAGGGGGGUGGAAUUCCACGUGUAGCAGUGAAAUGCGUAGAGAUGUGGAGGAACACCGAUGGCGAAGGCAGCCCCCUGGGCCGACACUGACGCUCAGGCACGAAAGCGUGGGGAGCAAACAGGAUUAGAUACCCUGGUAGUCCACGCCCUAAACGAUGCGGACUAGUCGUUGGGGGAGCAAUCCCUUAGUGACGCAGCUAACGCGUGAAGUCCGCCGCCUGGGGAGUACGGUCGCAAGAUUA